AGCUUAUUUUGCCCAGGCGGAGCUCGACCGCCCAUUCAAACGAUGAUCCGGUUCAUAGAGGAUCAUCGCGGGGACCAUGGAGAUAUGGGCAAAAGUUGGUGACGCUUGAUCAGGCGGCGGUUUGAAGUUGGCGGAUCCCA
rfam:Pseudoruegeria sp. SK021 NODE_14_length_89803_cov_44.028, whole genome shotgun sequence.